UACAGAGGGGGCUAGCGUUGUUCGGAAUGACUGGGCGUAAAGGGCGCGUAGGUGGCUCUACAAGUCAGAUGUGAAAGGCCUAGGCUUAACCUGGGGAUGGCAUUUGAGACUGCAGGGCUUGAGUCCGGGAGAGGAUAGCGGAAUUCCUAGUGUAGAGGUGAAAUUCGUAGAUAUUAGGAAGAACACCGGUGGCGAAGGCGGCUAUCUGGAACGGAACUGACACUGAGGCGCGAAAGCGUGGGGAGCAAACAGG
rnacentral:rRNA from 1 species